GCUGAGCAAGACGAGUAGGGGAGCAGAGACCGAUCCCCAGAACAAGAGGUGAAGACUCAUGGAAGCGUGGGGGUGAGCUAAGGCUCACAGAAUCCUUCACAUCAUGCCCUUAGGGAAAAUGGAGGACUUUCCAUCUUAACCCCCUCAAUUGAGCAGACAGGCCUUGAUCCCAAAAUUCCUUGGAUCGCCUGCAGAACGAGAGUGAAAGCCCUAGUCAUGGACCAGAACCCCAUUGUGUUAGGGGCUGUACAAAAAGAGUCCUGGCCGAUGAGCCUUUUAGGAUCGAAUCCUGCUCCCACUGAAGUCAGUGACAAAACUCUAUUGGCUAUAAUGAAGCAGGAUCAAACCCUUAAUGGAAGAGGGAUCGUUGCCAUAAAACAGAGGUAAGAGGAAGGGUGACAGAUUAGACCUGAAUGAACACAGGGUAAUCUAGGGUGCCAGGGACAGCAGGAUUGAGGUGCUGCUAGAGACAGCUGCUUGGCGCUGUGACAAUAAAUGCUUGUUUCUCUGUUG